ensembl:lncRNA
GCUAAUAUAGGCUAUGCUGUUCCAUGAGUUAUAUUUGUGGGGAUUUUUAAUUAAAUCUAAGUAUUUUUUGAGUGAGUCAUUGAAUCACUGAUCCAUUCACCAAAAAGAUUUGUUCACGGAUUUAUUCCAUGCAGGUUAAAUCAUAGUUGGCCAGUAGGUGGUGACAAGUGAGUCUUUUUCGUUCACAAUCUUAACAAUCAGAAUCAGAAUUUCAGAAUCGGAAUUAGCUUUAUUCGCCAGGUGUGCACAAACACACAAGGAAUUUUUUUUUUUUUUUUUUGUUUAAGGUGCUCCUGAUACCUACACACAUACAUGCAUACAUACACAUCUGACAUGAGAAUAGAAUAAAAAUAAAAUAAAAUUAGUAAGACUUCGCAAUAAAUAAUGUGAAUGAAUCUGGAACAGUAGAUUGAUUUAUGUACAGAUUUGUGCAAUUUUACUCUAUAUAGAACAGUAUAAAUAAAGAGAUAUGCAUAUGUAUUUACAUAAUACUUGAGAAAGGCAGUCAUUUAAGACGUAGAAUGAUUUACGGAAAUGAAUUACAGAAUACAGGUAAUGAUUCAUAUGUUGUAUGUUCAUAAGCUGGAGAUGGCAUGGGGGAAAAACAUUUAUGCCUAGAUGUUCUAGUGCGUAGAGAUCUGUAGCAUCUGCCUGAGGGGAGAAGUGCAAACAGGUUGUAUCUGGGGUGAGAGGGGUCUUUGAUGAUGGUACCUGCCCGUUUCUUCACUCUGUAGUUGUACAAGUCCUGAAGACUGGGCAAGUGCACACCAAUGAGCUUUUCUGCUGCCUUAACAGUCUGUUGCAGUCUUCUUAAAUCUGAUUUGCUGGCUGACCCAAACCAGACAGUUAUAGAAGAGCACAGAACCGACUCAAUAAUAGCCGAGUAAAACUGUGUCAUCUGUGCCUGUGGCAGGUUGAACUUUUUCAACUGACGAAGGAAGUACAACCUCUGCUGGGCCUUUUUCACAAUGGAGUCAAUGUGAAUGUCCCACUUCAGGUCCUGAGAGAUGGUUGUGCCCAGGAACCUGAAUGACUCCACUGCAGCCACAGUGCUGUUCAUGAUGGUGAGUGGGGGGAGAGCAGGGGGGUUUCUCCUGAAGUCCACGAUCAUCUCCACGGUUUUGGGCGUGUUCAGCUCCAGGUUGUGACUGCACCAGACAGCCAGCUUUUUAACCUCCUGUCUGUAAGCAGACUUGUCGCUGUCCUGGAUGUCCGAUGACUGUGGUGUCGUCUGCAAACUUCAGGAGCUGGACAGAGUGGUCUUUAGAGGUGCAGUCAUUUGUGUAGAGGGAGAAGAGCAGGGGGCGAGAACACAGCCCUGAGGAGCUCCAGUUGGAUUUGAGUUUUCCCAGCCUCACUAGCUGCUACCUGUCUCUCAGGAAGCUGGUGAUCCACUGACAGAUGGAAGUUGGUACAGAGAGCUGUGUGAGUUUAUUCUGAAGGGUGUACAGGAUGAUGGUGUUGAAAGUGGAGCUGAAGUCCACAAACAAGAUCCUUGCAUAAGUCCCUGGUUUGUCCAGAUGUUGGAGGAUGUAGUGCAAUCCCAUAUUGACUGCAUCAUCCAUGGACCUGUUUGCUCUGUAAGCAAACUGCAGGUGGUCCAGCAAGGGUCCAGUAAUGUCCUUCAAGUAGCCCAGCACCAGUCUCUCGAAUGACUUCAUGACCACAGAUGUUAAAGCAACGGGUCUGUAGUCAUUAAGUCCUGUGAUUUUUGGUUUCCUGGGUACAGGGAUGAUGGUAGAGCGUUUGAAGCAGGAGGGGACUUCACACAGCUCCAGGGAUCUGCUGAAGAUCAAUGUGAAGAUGGAUGAUAACUGGACAGCACUGGCUUUGAGGCAGGCUGGAGAGACACCAUCUGGGCCUUUGGCUUUCCUGAAGACUUUGCAUACAUCCUCUUCACAGAUCUUGAGUACAGGCUGAGAAUCAAUAGGUUAGGAGGGAGGGGGAGGGUGUUGAUGGCUGUGCUGUGAGAUGGUCAGAGUGGGUGUUGGGUGUCAGACCAAGCUUUUGCUUUUCAAACCUGCAGUAGAACUCGUUCAGGUCUUCAGCCAGGUGUUGAUUGGCCUCAGUGCUGAGGUAUGGGGUCUUGUAGCUGGUGAUGGCUUUCAGGCCAUUCCACACUGAUUUAUAGUCAUUACUUGAAAGCUGUUGUUUUAGCUUUUCAGAGUAGUCCAACUUUGCCACUCUUAUCUCCCUAUUCAGUGUGUAUUUGGCCUUUUUUACAAAUUAUGGUCCCCACUCCUGUAGACGUCCUCUUUGGCCUGGCAAAGCUGUUUGAGCUUUGCACUGAACCAAGGUUUGUCAUUGUUAAAAGUUAAAUAAGUCCUGGUGGGAACAGACAUGUCCUCACAGAAAUUGAUGUAGGAUGUCACGGUGUCAGUAAGCUCAUCCAGGUCAGUAGCUGCAGCCUCAAAAAUACUCCAGUCAGUAAGUUCAAAGCAGGCCUGUAAAUCUUGUUCUUGUUCAGCAGUCCAUCUCGUUACAGUUUUUACUACAGGCUUAGCAGAUUUGAGGUUCUGCCUGUAGGCUGGUAGAAGAUGAACUAAACAGUGAUCAGAGAGUCCCAGUGCUGCUCAGGGGACAGAGUGGUCAGUGGUCCAGUAUAUUGCUGUCUCUGGUGGGGCAUGUGAUGUUCUGUCUAUAUUUAGGCAGUUCACAGGUGAGAUUAGCUUUAUUAAAAUCACAGAGAACGAUCAUGAAAGAGUCCUGAUAACAUUGUUCUGUGUGUGUGAUCUGACCGGCCAACAGUUCUAGUGCGAUGCUCACUCGCGCGUCAGGAGGAAUGUACACACUCACCAGAAUAAAUGAUGAAAACUCAAAAAGCUUGCAGUUAAUGAAGAAAGCUUCCAAAUUUGGGCAGCACAUCUUCUUUAAAACUGUCACAUCUGUACACCAGCCUUCAUUGAUAUAAAAACAUAAUCCACCGCCUCUUGUUUUCCCCGAUGACUUGGCGACGCGGUCUGCUCUGAACAGCUGGCCCGUUAGAUGUAACGCACUGUCUGGGAUUGCUCCGUUCAGCCAGGUUUCCGUGAAGCAGAGCACAGCGGAGUUUAAAAAGUCCUUGUUUGUGCGUGUGAGGAAUCGUAGUUCUUCUGAUUUAUUUGCUAGGGAGCGGAGAUUCGCCAGAUGAAUGCUCGGCAGCACUGUCCUAAAUCCGCACUGUCUGAAAUUAAUGAGUGCGCCACCGUGCUUUCCUCUUUUGCGUCGCCUGGAGCACUUGUAUAGGAAC